UCUUUUAACUGAACGAAUACAAUUAUAUAACUGGAAGCUGGAGGACAAUAAAAUUUAAUAAUUUACUGCACAAAGGGAAUGCUAUGACAUUAUAUAUAUAUAUAUAUAUAUAUAUAUGUAUGUAUGUAUAUGUAUACGUAUAUAUAAACAUAUAAAUAUACACGCAAUUCAAAAAUCCAUUGACACUUAAGCAGCCAAACACUAAGAAUAUUAUAAUAUACUGACAAAAUCUAUUGCAGCUGUGAAGGUUGAGAGUACGAAAACAAUAAUCUGG
rnacentral:lncRNA from 1 species